rnacentral:rRNA from 1 species
UACGUAGGGACCAAGCGUUGUUCGGAAUUACUGGGCGUAAAGCGCGCGUAGGCGGUUUGCUAAGUCAGGGGUGAAAUCCUGGAGCUCAACUCCAGAACUGCCUUUGAUACUGGCGACCUUGAGUCCGGGAGAAGUGAGUGGAACUGCGAGUGUAGAGGUGAAAUUCGUAGAUAUUCGCAAGAACACCAGUGGCGAAGGCGGCUCACUGGCCCGGUACUGACGCUGAGGUGCGAAAGCGUGGGGGAGCAAACAGG